rnacentral:rRNA from 1 species
UGGGGAAUAUUGCGCAAUGGGGGGAACCCUGACGCAGCCAUGCCGCGUGAAUGAAGAAGGCCUUAGGGUUGUAAAGUUCUUUCGGUAUUGAGGAAGGUUGAUGUGAUAAUAGCACAUCAAAUUGACGUUAAAUACAGAAGAAGCACCGGCUAACUCCGUGCCAGCAGCCGCGGUAAUACGGAGGGUGCGAGCGUUAAUCGGAAUAACUGGGCGUAAAGGGCACGCAGGCGGUUAUUUAAGUGAGGUGUGAAAGCCCUGGGCUUAACCUGGGAAUUGCAUUUCAGACUGGGUAACUAGAGUACUUUAGGGAGGGGUAGAAUUCCACGUGUAGCGGUGAAAUGCGUAGAGAUGUGGAGGAAUACCGAAGGCGAAGGCAGCCCCUUGGGAAUGUACUGACGCUCAUGUGCGAAAGCGUGGGGAGCAAACAGGAUUAGAUACCCUGGUAGUCCACGCUGUAAACGCUGUCGAUUUGGGGGUUGGGGUUUAACUCUGGCGCCCGUAGCUAACGUGAUAAAUCGACCGCCUGGNGAGUACGGCCGCAAGGUUA